rnacentral:rRNA from 1 species
GACGAACGCUGGCGGCGUGCUUAACACAUGCAAGUCGAGCGAAGUAUUCAAGAUAGAUUUCUUCGGAUUGAGGUCUUGAAUAUCUUAGCGGCGAACGGGUGAGUAACGCGUGAGAAACCUGCCUUUCACAAAGGGAUAGCCUCGGGAAACUGGGAUUAAUACCUUAUGAUACUUACAUUUCACAUGAGAAGUAAGUUAAAGCGCAAAGCGGUGAAAGAUGGUCUCGCGUCCCAUUAGUUAGUUGGUGAGGUAACGGCUCACCAAGACCGCGAUGGGUAGCCGGCCUGAGAGGGUGAACGGCCACACUGGAACUGAGACACGGUCCAGACUCCUACGGGAGGCAGCAGUGGGGAAUAUUGCACAAUGGAGGAAACUCUGAUGCAGCGACGCCGCGUGAGUGAAGAAGGCCUCGGUCGUAAACUUAGUCCUAGGGACGAGUAAUGACGGUACCCUAGGAGGAAGACCCGGCUAACUACGUGCCAGCAGCCGCGGUAAACGUAGACGUG